UACGUAGGGUGCGAGCGUUAAUCGGAAUUACUAGGCGUAAAGCGUGCGCAGGCGGUUUUGUAAGCCAGAUGUGAAAUCCCCGGGCUUAACCUGGGAAUGGCAUUUGGGACUGCAAGGCUGGAGUUUGGCAGAGGAGACUGGAAUUCCCGGUGUAGCAGUGAAAUGCGUAGAUAUCGGGAGGAAUACCGAUGGCGAAGGCAGGUCUCUGGGCUAUAACUGACGCUCAUGCACGAAAGCGUGGGGGAGCAAACAGG
rnacentral:rRNA from 1 species